GAGGAUGUAGCUCAGUGAUAGAGUGCUUGUCUAGCAUGUGCAAGGCCCUGGGUUCAAUCCCAGCAGCCACU
rfam:Fukomys damarensis contig45372, whole genome shotgun sequence.